GAAAAGGCAGCUUUAUGAACUUUGUUCUGAAAAGAUCGAGCCUGAAGGACAAAAGAUAAGAUGAUGUGCAUACUAUCCUCACCAUUUCCUCAGAUCGUCAAGCUGACUGCAUUUAAGAAGCUGAAAACACAAAUUACAUACAAAGAGAAGAUGGAAAUUCAUCAUGAUGGCAGACAAGUAACAGGGCAGAAGACUGGAGCACAAAGGAACAGGCAGGAAAUUUUAUAAGCGAUUUGGACCAGUUUCUUGGUGUAAAUAAAAGAUCAUAAUUUGCGUGUGUCAUUUGUGCAAAGAUUUUUC